CUCGACCAGCAUUUAUUUUUAGAUUAUGGCAUUAGCCAAUCAGAACUCUUGUUAUAUUUGCCAUUUGGUACGAAACUGGUUUGUUUGGAAAAAAUGGCUGCCGCCAUGAUGGUGCCUUUUUCACAUCUUCUGCAAGUUUAUGUGACGACCUGUUUAAAGUUUAACAUUGACACGCGGUGGACUUCAAUAUGUAUGAUCUACUUAUGCUGCCACAAUGUAAAGGCAACAAUCACUGGGUUUUGCUGGUUGCAAGUGUUAUGUCCAGGACUGUAACCAUUUACGACUCGUUGGGUGGUAACAACAAGGCCUUGUUCGAUUUGUUCUGCCAGCUCAUGUGUCAACGAGCGCAAAUUGUGAAAGAUGGCUUGGAAAAAUUCAGUUCAGAGUUCAAAGCGCCACCUUGCAACAAACAGCGCCAUGGAAACAGCUGUGGAGUGUUUGCAUUGAUGACUGCCAAAUGUUUGGUCAUGAAAAAGCAUCCCACAAUGUUGCGACAGGCCCAUGAUUCAGUUUAUUGAGACUAGUCGUGAGACACAGACUUCUGAUUCAUGGAGUGCGGAAAACAUAUCUGUGCGACUCGAUCACUCCACUGUAAAGACCCGCACGGCAUUAAAAUGGAUAUUAUCAAUAUGUGUUGUUGCUCGAAAAUAUGUUUUUGUAGCAGGAAGUGCUUUGGGCUCGAUUAAUGUGAGAACUCAACAAAAUAUUAAUAAAAUCCUUCUGUGCCUUGAAGUUCUGAAAACAGAAGUAGCCAGUUGGUAUUACACAUCUCCUAAACAAGUACAGCACAAUAAAACUUAAGGUUUUAUAAUCCUAAAUUUUUAUAACAUCUUUAUAUCCACACAAAAAUAUUGAUGAUUGUGGUGCUCAGAUUGCAAAACCACCUGUUUGGCAAAAAUAAUCCAGAUGGUUAUAUUAUGAUAAGUGCAAGAAAAAAAGAAUAACUCGGGAGAUAAUAAUUGAUAUGAUAAUCAUUGCUUGACAGAAUCACAAUUGACCUAGAUAUUUAAUUAUGUAGUGGUGUAUUUCAAGUGCCUUAAGAUUCAAAAAACAUAUUGACUUAAAAUAAAUAAUCCCGAUGGCGUAAAUGACUUAUCAUUUCAUGUUCAUGAACCGAUUUUAAAAUACUUUGUAGACUUAUCUGCUAGGCGGUGAGGACUUUUAGACCACCUGAUAAACUUCAACUUUAUUUUCCCUAGUUCAGUAACCGACUAAAGAUAUGCUAACAUAAUACUGAUGACUGAUGAGUCUGUUGUGUCUUAUAUUCUCAUUGCUACUUAAAAUAUUAAGUCUAUUUCAACGUUUAGACUUAUAAUAAGCACAUUCGUUAAAUUGAUAUCCCCCGCCAAAUAAAUUUUGAUUAUUGAUGGGUGCAGAACUAACAGAAAAGUUUAUUUGAAGGGUUGUACCCUUAUGUCACUUAUUUAAAAGUAACAACAUAAAAAAACAAUUGACAAUAACUCUUAUUUAAGAAAGUGUAGGGUUAUAGAUUUUGUGCAUGACACCUCUCCUCAUUGAUAUCUUAACAUCCAUUAAAUUUCAUCUUUAAAUCGUGUAUAGUAUCUGUGAUAUAGUCCUGUAAAGUAACAUCAGACAUAUACAUAUGUACUAGGGUUAUGUUUCUUGUGCAUGGCACUUAUUCUCGUUGACAAUUAUACACCCAUGAAAUUACCUGUUUAAAUCUUGUAUUUAUAGUUUCUGAGAUAAAGCCCUGAAAAGUUACAUCUUACAAAAACAACAAAGGGCAAUAACUCUUAUUUAAGAAAGUGAAGGGUUGUGGUUCUUAUGCAUGGUUCUAUAAAUGAGAUAUAGCCCUGAAAAGUUACAUCAUAAAAUAACUAACAAGAAAGGGCAAUAACCGUUAUGUAAGAAAGUAUACGGUUAUGGUUCUCGUGCAUUGAUAAUUAUACAAACAUGAAGUUUCAUGUUAAAAUCUUGUAUAGUAUCUGAGAUAUAGCCCUAGUUACAUUAUACAAAAACAACAAAGCGCAGUAACUCUUAUAUCAGAAAGUGACGGAUUAUGGUUCUU